CCGGCACAGAGAGUCGGUUGGAUGCCUGUUCUCAUGGGUCGAUAGGGUAUCCAAGUACUACGUACUGCUCAGAAACAUCCGAUGUGGACGCCUCUGUCAUAUGUAAAGCACCUGAUGAUGGCCAACUUCGUCUGGUGGACGGUAACGGCUACAACAGCGGUCGUGUCGAGAUCAAGUUUGCCGGAGUAUGGAGGCGUAUCUGUGACAAUGGAUGGGGACUAAAAAACGCCGAGGUAGUUUGUCGUCAGUUGGGGUACACCAAUCAUGAAAGAGCCGCAACAGAUUGGCCUCACAAGGGGAAUGGGUCUUAUUGGUUGUACAAUGUCGACUGUCUAGGAUCAGAGACCACCCUCACGAACUGCCAACACGGAGGAAUAGGGCCACAUUCCUCAGAUAACUGUGGCGUAUAUAGUUAUGAUGACGCUGGCGUCUAUUGCCAUGGAUAUUCACGUUUUUACCCUCCAGCUGCAACCGCGUCAACAGUAGAA